UGUUAGGAUUAUCAUUAAAAUUUAUUAGGAGAGAAAUAGAGACCAAAAGAGAAAGAAUAAACAUGCCAUUGUAUGGCCUCUUGCACCGGCAUCUUCAAUUCCCCAUGCAGUUCUGGUAUUCUCAUCUCAGAAAUAAGACAGUAGAACUGGAGCAUGGCUAACUCAGUUGGGUCUCUUCGGUCUGCAGAUCAUAAUGCAAUUCAGGUUAGAAUGGACCAUGGGAGGUCUCUUCUCCAACCUCCUCCUCAAAGCAGGGUCAGCUCUGAGGUCAGACCAGGUUGCUCAAGAUGUUUUCUAGUCAGGGCUUGAAAAUCUCCAAGAAUGGAGUUUGCACAACCUCCUCGGGCAACCUGCUCCACUGUUUGGUGUUUUCACUGUGAAAAAGUUUGUCUUUAUAUCUAGUCAGAACCUCUUGUGUUUCAGCUGAUGCUUGUUGUGUCCAGCACCACGGACUCCAGCAAGGAGCCUGGCUCCAUCUUCUUGGUGACCUCCUCAUAGAAUACCUGCUUGUCAACUUCAACUUCGCUGACGAGUUCUUAACAUGUUCUACGAAUCAGUAUCUGUGAUCAGGUGUUAUCUACAGUAGCUCCUCCUCUCCUUCAAGUCAAGCAGCCGUUUUACACGAGUCCACCUCUGAAUCAGACAUGCUUCCAUGCUUGUUGUGGUAGCGCUGGGUCAGGAAAACAACAGUUCCCUGCGGCAGCUGUGAAGAGGCCUGAAAACCCUCAUGCACACAAGCUCCUGGGAGCGGCGUCGCGCCGCCCGCCCCGAUGCGCAGCCGAGGCGC
rnacentral:lncRNA from 1 species